rnacentral:rRNA from 1 species
CCUACGGGAGGCAGCAGUGGGGAAUAUUGCACAAUGGGGGAAACCCUGAUGCAGCAACGCCGCGUGAGUGAAGAAGGUUUUCGGAUUGUAAAGCUCUGUUAGCAGGGAAGAGGAAGGACGGUACCUGACUAAGAAGCCCCGGCUAACUACGUGCCAGCAGCCGCGGUAAUACGUAGGGGGCAAGCGUUAUCCGGAUUUACUGGGUGUAAAGGGAGCGUAGACGGCAGCACAAGUCUGGAGUGAAAUCCCGGGGCUUAACCCCGGAACUGCUUUGGAAACUGUGCGGCUGGAGUGCAGGAGGGGUAAGCGGAAUGCCUAGUGUAGCGGUGAAAUGCGUAGAUAUUAGGAGGAACACCGGUGGCGAAGGCGGCUUACUGGACUGUAACUGACGUUGAGGCUCGAAAGCGUGGGGAGCAAACAGGAUUAGAUACCCGAGUAGUC